rnacentral:lncRNA from 1 species
UAAAAGGACACUAUAAUUCAUUUUUUUCUACUGUUAUUUAUCUUUCCAAACAAUUUUCAUCAAUAUUUCCAAGGAAAAUUGUCAAAAAUACAAUUUUCAAAGCACCAUUUUUCAAGUUUACACUAACCACUUUUACACUAAUCUUUAAUGAAUGAUAAAAGACAUUUAUAAUCUUUUAAUUAACUUUGACAAAAAAAAACAUAUGGUUAACUAAUCUAAACUUAAAACAUCAACUAUAAACUCUAAAUCAUCAACUCUAAACCUUAAACCAUCGAAUAUCAACUCUCAACCCUAAAUCAUCAAACAUCAACUCUAAACCUUAAACCCCGAAACAUCAACUCUAAACCCUAAACCCUAAACCCUAAAACAUCAACUCUAAACCCUAAACAUAAACCC